UUCGGGGUUUCGGGCGGCCAUGGCGAAUUUUCGGCAGGAUUUUACCCCAGUGAAAAAGGCUUGUAAUCCACAGUGAUCAGCUGAGAUGUUUUUCACUGGAUUAUUUAAUUGAUAGACUUAUUGGGCAUAUAUUUGGAUAUCUCUGGAUCAGCUGAGAUGUUUUUCACUGGAUUAUUUAAUGGAUAGACUUAUUGGGCAUAUAUUUGGAUAUCUCUGGAUCAGCUGAGAUGUUAUUUCACUGGAUUAUUUAAUGGAUAGACUUAUUGGGCAUAUAGUUUGAUAUCUCUGUCCUCAACCUGGAAGAUAUGUAUUGUUCCUAACCAUCUAUAAUCUAUUCUCUAUGAAGUUCAGACUGUCUGCUCUUCCUUUGGAAAUACACAGUUAUAGUCAACCAACAUAGAAACACACAAACUUGAAGGAUUCUCUUGUGAGGGCUUAUGGAAAUGAUCUAUGUCUACUCUUAGAAUGGUGAAAGACUAUCAGAUUAUGCAAAGACUAACAGUAUAUCCUCUCUUGGAACACUGAAACAAGAAAACCAAACUUAAGAGGAUGGAGGAUUUAAGAAGCACAUAGAUAAAUAUGAUUUCCAUCUAAUUUAACCAGUACGAUCAUAGACUGUGGUUUACAGGAUGACAAAGAAAGGACCCAGGAUUGUAUCUUUUUUUUACUGUCAGACACUGACUAUGGAUAAAGUGUAAUCAUUUAUCAAACUGAGAUCUAGUCAAAUCAAGUAUUGAAAAUAUGAUUUUCUGAUAGCAUGAGCUCUUUAAAACCUAAUUCUCACUGACCUCAAAGUAUCUGAAUGUGACUUUUAUUUUUACCAAUUCAUAUUGAAGACUUUUGUUAUGUAUGAGAAGUAUACAUUUAAACCUUUUAUUUUUCAUUU